rnacentral:rRNA from 1 species
UACGUAGGGGGCGAGCGUUGUCCGGAAUUAUUGGGCGUAAAGAGCGCGCAGGUGGUUGAUUAAGUCUGAUGUGAAAGCCCACGGCUUAACCGUGGAGGGUCAUUGGAAACUGGUCGACUUGAGUGCAGAAGAGGGAAGUGGAAUUCCAUGUGUAGCGGUGAAAUGCGUAGAGAUAUGGAGGAACACCAGUGGCGAAGGCGGCUUCCUGGUCUGUAACUGACACUGAGGCGCGAAAGCGUGGGGAGCAAACAGGAUUAGAUACCCG